UGGCGGACGGGUGAGUAAUGUCUGGGAAACUGCCUGAUGGAGGGGGAUAACUACUGGAAACGGUAGCUAAUACCGCAUAACGUCGCAAGACCAAAGGGGGGGACCUUCGGGCCUCUUGCCAUCGGAUGUGCCCAGAUGGGAUUAGCUAGUAGGUGGGGUAACGGCUCACCUAGGCGACGAUCCCUAGCUGGUCUGAGAGGAUGACCAGCCACACUGGAACUGAGACACGGUCCAGACUCCUACGGGAGGCAGCAUG
rnacentral:rRNA from 1 species